AUGCGAUGGAGCCUCCGCUGCUGCGUUGCUGCUCCGUGGGAAGGAGAGACGCGCGGGGAACGCUGAUCCGCGCCACUUGCCGCGAGACGGGGGACGCGGGGAGGAGGAGGAAGGAGGGGUCUGAAUAAGAGAGGAGGGGAUGGAGCUUACUGUGAGUUUUCUUGCCUUUGCAGUAUUUCCCCAUGUGCCUUUUGAAUAACCCUCACGCCUGCCCCUACAGCUCAAUGCGAGUGAUAGCCAACAGUGGGUCUCUGAGUAUGACUAAGGUUGGACAUCACUAGGAUCUUAGUAGGCUCCCUCUGUUGGCAAAGGACACUGUAACCAAUGUCACAACUGGAUAAAUAUGGGUACAGGAUCCAUCCCACCACUUGUUCUGUGCUAACCUUAAGAGCAGCCCAGCAGUAGUCGUCUGGAUGCACCCAGCUGUUCU